rfam:Camelus ferus unplaced genomic scaffold scaffold853, whole genome shotgun sequence.
GAGGGUAUAGCAGAGUGGUAGAGUGCACCCUUGGCAUGCACAAUGUCCUGGGUUCAAUCCCCAGUACCUCCA